AGGCAACCUACUUGUUAAUAAAACAAUGACAUGAGAGGUGUUUAACUGCUCCUAGAUCAAAUUAUGCUUCUGCUCUUCAGACUUGCUGAGAUUUUAUCGUCUUUGAAGCUGGUCUAGUAGUCUUAAGCACAUU
rnacentral:snoRNA from 14 species